UACGUAGGGUGCGAGCGUUAAUCGGAAUUACUGGGCGUAAAGCGUGCGCAGGCGGUUCGUUAUGUCCGAUGUGAAAGCCCCGAGCUCAACUUGGGAAUGGCAUUGGAAACUGGCGGGCUGGAGUGUGGCAGAGGGGGGUGGAAUUCCACGUGUAGCAGUGAAAUGCGUAGAGAUGUGGAGGAACACCGAUGGCGAAGGCAGCCCCCCUGGGCCAACACUGACGCUCAGGCACGAAAGCGUGGGGAGCAAACAGG
rnacentral:rRNA from 1 species